AUUAAGACACUCAAGUAAACCAGGUCCUCACCCUGAAGGCACCAAUAGAUAUAAUCAUAGGACAGAGGAUUGAUCAUGACUUGUGAUGUGUAGGUCACAGCCCACUGUCACAAUGACUUCAUAUAGGCCGUUCAUAACCUGUUGAGCAGUCGGUCCCAGUCAGCACACAGCAUGGACAUGAGGACUCCUGCUCAGCUCCUGGGGCUCCUCCUGCUCUGCCUUCCAGGUGCCAGAAGUGACAUCCAGAUGACCCAGUCUCCUUCCUCCCUGUCUGUAUCUCCGGGAGACACUGUCACCAUCUCCUGCAAAGCCAGUCAGGGUAUUAGCAAUUAUUUAAACUGGUAUCAGCAGAAACCAGAAAAAGCCCCAAAGCCUCUGAUCUUUUACACUUCAAGGUUGACCUCUGGGGUCCCAUCCAGGUUCAGUGGCAGUGGAUCUGGGACAGAUUAUUCUCUCACCAUCAGGAGCCUCCAACCUGAAGAUUUUGCCACUUAUUACUGUCUGCAGUACGAUAGUAGACCACCCACAGUGAUACAACCCAUAACAUAA